UUUCUAAUGUAAGUAUGUCUCAGGCAAUAUUUGGGGCAUAUUUAUAUUAAAA
rnacentral:pre_miRNA from 15 species